GGGCGAUUAGCGCAGUUGGUAGCGCAGCACUAUCACACAGUGAAGGUCGGGGGUUCGAAUCCCUCAUCGCCCA
rnacentral:tRNA from 2 species